CCCCGCAGGGGUUAGUAGAGUGGCAAACGGGUGAGUAACACGUGGGUGACCUGCCUUCGAGUGGGGGAUAACGUCYCGAAAGGGACGCUAAUACUGCAUGACAUCCUGCUCUUGGACGAGCGGAGAUCAAAGCCGGGGAUCGCAAGACCUGGCGCUUAAAGAGGGGCCCGCGCCUGAUUAGCUAGUUGGUGGGGUAAUGGCCUACCAAGGCGACGAUCAGUAUCCGGCCUGAGAGGGCGGACGGACACACUGGGACUGAGACACGGCCCAGACUCCUACGGGAGGCAGCAGUGGGGAAUUGUUCGCAAUGGGCGCAAGCCUGACGACGCAACGCCGCGUGGAGGAUGAAGAUCUUCGGGUCGUAAACUCCUGUCGAGCGGGAAGAAACCCACGAGGGUGAAUAACCCUUGUGGCUGACGGUACCGCUAA
rnacentral:rRNA from 1 species